UGUCAUCGAGAAUCAAGGAGCCGAUGGUGACCCAAGGAAAAUGAUUUAGACAGGUUCGGGUCACUAGAUCACGUAAUACCCUACAUCCUGUAUGUUGAUUGUAUUGAACUUCUUCGCUUCUCUUUUGAGGGGGUCCCUGCCCACCCUUAUAUAGCUGCGGGAGCAGGGUUACAGGGUGGAGUCCUAGUCGGACAAGGUUACAGAUUUCUACUCCUAGUCGGUAUAGUUUCCUUGUCUCUUCAGACUAGUCUUCAGGGGUCUAUGGAGGCUAUGUUAC
rnacentral:lncRNA from 1 species